rnacentral:rRNA from 1 species
GGGUUAAGUCCGUAACGAGCGCAACCCUUGUCCUUAGUUACCAGCACGUUAUGUGGGCGACUCUAAGGAGACUGCCGGUGGACAAACCGGAGGAAAGGUGGGGAUGACGUCAAGUCAUCAUGGCCCUUACGGCCUGGGCUACACACGUGCUACAAUGGUCGGUACAAAGGGUUGCCAAGCCGCGAGGUGGAGCUAAUCCCAUAAAACCGAUCGUAGUCCGGAUCGCAGUCUGCAACUCGACUGCGUGAAGUCGGAAUCGCUAGUAAUCGUGAAUCAGAAUGUCACGGUGAAUACGUUCCCGGGCCUU